GACGAACGCUGGCGGCGUGCCUAAUACAUGCAAGUCGAACGAGAGCGACCGGUGCUUGCACUGGUCAAUCUAGUGGCGAACGGGUGAGUAACACGUGGGUAACCUGCCCAUCAGAGGGGGAUAACAUCCGGAAACGGAUGCUAAAACCGCAUAGGUCUUCGAACCGCAUGGUUUGAAGAGGAAAAGAGGCGCAAGCUUCUGCUGCUGGAUGGACCCGCGGUGCAUUAGCUAGUUGGUGAGGUAACGGCUCACCAAGGCCGUGAUGCAUAGCCGACCUGAGAGGGUGAUCGGCCACAUUGGGACUGAGACACGGCCCACACUCCUACGGGAGGCAGCAGUAGGGAAUCUUCCGCAAUGGACGCAAGUCUGACGGAGCAACGCCGCGUGAGUGAAGAAGGUUUUCGGAUCUUAAAACUCUGUUGUUAGAGAAGAACAAGUGCUAGAGUAACUGUUAGCGCCUUGACGGUAUCUAACCAGAAAGCCACGGCUAACUACGUG
rnacentral:rRNA from 1 species